CUUUAAUUGUAUCUUUUUACGUGAUACUGUUGCUGUUAUUCACUUAUGAUGUCACUAUAUGUAUGAAACUAGAUCCUGGCAUACAUAUAGGUAGCACUUGGUUUUGUUUUAAAACCGGGUGUGACAAGCUUGGACUGGUAGUCUCGGUUCAUGGAGUCUAUGGACCAGGGUGCUAGAGUAGUCUACGGUGCACCACAUCCACACGAAGGGGUAUGGUUUAUAUCUGAUCUAAGCCAUCGGUUUUGGAUCUAAAGGUUGCAACUUCAUCUUCUAGCUCCGAUCCUGCCCGACGACGACCACGCAGCGGCGCCAUGCACGUGCAUGGCUGGAACUUCGCCGGAGAAAAUGUAGGACAUAGUAUGAAUGACGUAUUCCGAUGAUAAACACAAAAACAGAAAGAGGAGGCAAAGGGGAUCUCAAUUUGAGCCUACCAAGGGGCUGCGGUGGUUCGUCUCCGACCGGGUCGUGAGUGCUGCCGCGGCCGCCUCCGCUGCUCAGGGAAGUACAUAGCCAAACAAAGAGGGAGGAACCGAGGAAGUGCAGGUGUUUAUCACGCGUGAGAAUUGGCUGUCCCAUUUUGAAUCUCGGCAAGAUGAUCGGACGCGAUGGUGUGGCGAUUGAGGACGCGACGGUGGCGGUGUGGUGAUGGACCACGAGCACGAUUGGUGGGACGUGAGGGGAAGGAUGUGAGGGGCAGCGGCAGCGGGGAAGGGGAGAGGUGAGAGGCACGAAUCGAUCGUAGGGUCGAAAAAUGUUUCUGUACGCGGAGGGACGUUCCAGGGCGUGCGGAGGGGGUUCCUUCGAUCGUAGGGCGCAGAGACCCCCGUCGCCGCUUCUGUCGGGCACGAAGGGCUCCAAAUCGAUGGAGCGCGGGACGAUGGAACGGAGGAACCGUGACGUACGACAUUUCGUCACCUCUUUUGCGUUUUUUAGGAGUAGAGAUUUCCAGCCACUCAUCGUGGUCCUCAGUCCUCCCCCCAUCGCGAACCCACCUCUGCCCUCCGACGACUAGGGCAACCCUCCCCGCCCCAAACUCCCGGCCGCCACCGCCCCGCACCCCAACCCCAACCCACUAUCUCGAAUUCAACUGCUUGAUGAUAUUUUUCUUCUGAUCCGGAAAGAUUCACCCGGGAAAGAUUCUAUCUUUUUCGUAUUAUAAGCAGAUCCAAGUCGGAACCGGCCUGUGGUAAUGCAUUAUGUUUCUGAUAUUUGGUCAUUAGUUCCUCUCUUGUUAUCAACACGACAGUUUGUUGUUCUGUUGCUUUUUUUAAAUAAAAAGAACCUUUGGUGAACUGCGGCAUCUCUUCCUAUGGCGAAGUUUGGAACAUAUUUCUUGGUACUUUAGAGUUGGGAUCAGCAUCUGUUGGCUACAUUCCUCAGAUCCGAUGCUGUUCCUCAUGUCAAUACGUCAAAUCUGAACCUUGGACUGAACCCGAGCUUAAUUUUUUUGCACCUCGUUUUGUUGGCUCAGUCUUUAGUCUCAGUUGCUACGUAGCCAUAUAUAUGUCCUCUGCGAGUUGUGUAUACUUUUUUUUUGUUUUGUUGGUUUGGUGCCGUGUCUUACAUGCCAAGUUCUCUCAUUGUGCUUCAAGUGGAAUCAGCAAGGGCAAGUUAGUUAUUCGUGCAAGUCAGUGACCAGUGAAUAUCUUUCACUUCUUGUUGAACUCAAACAUCUAAUUUAGCUUUUGGUUUCUAAUUUCAUAAUUCAUAUGCAUCAGAGUUUCUAGCACCUGGGUUCAACUGGUAUGUUAUAAAGUUGUUUGGCCCUUCAUUUCACAUAUAUCAAUCAUUGUUACAUUUCAGGAUUUAUGCAGUAAAUACAAUGUUUUCUAUUUGCAGCAUAUGUUUAUGUUUCAGUGGUGUGUGAUCCAUUUUAGAUAGAAUGCCUCGUUUUAUUUCAUGGUCUUCUGAGUCAUUGUUUGACCAUUGCGUGCCUUGUAGUAAUCUUCUUUGGAGCGUAAUUCGAGAUCAAACUUCCUUGUUUCAAAAAACGCAAGGAUGGAAUUGAAAUUGAAGGCACCUGCCUGUGACAAAGAUAAUGGUAAUGGCAAUGAUGGAUCUAUUACAGUGAGAAACGAGUAUCCUCGGCGGCCUGCCCCUAUUAUUGACACUACCAAGGGCGGUUGGAGUUUCCAUGAGAAGAUGGCCAGGUCCGUAGUAAAUGACAUAAUCAUCCGAAACACUACUCCUAAGUGGGUGUGUAAUACAUUCUUCGACAAUUAUGACCAAGUGGAGCCCAUCCUUAAUAAGGAUAGCGCCCAGUGCUUCCUCCAAUUUUUCGACAAAUGCGAGGGCAGGGGCAUGUCAUGGAAUCUUACCAUCACUACACUAACCUUAACCUACAUGAUCAGUUUCAACGCCCUGCGGUGUGCAGAAGUUGUAUUGGAGGGCAAGGCACCUGAGCUCUCUGGGAUGCGUGCCAAUCCCAACUUCAUAAACAAGAAUGGAUACUUCCCGCUCCACGAAGCUGCUGAAAAGUUCUCUGUUGAGAUGAUCGAACUGCUCUUACGCCAUGGCGCAUCAGCCAAUGUACGCACAGUUGGCAAUGUUGUCAUUGAGAACCUACUCCCGCUCCAUGUUGCAGUUGAGAAUACUUGCCUGCAUAAGUAUCUGGAGGACAAUCUUUCUUCCAGCCAGAAUCAUCUGGAUUACAUCUACAAGCUUAUCCAUCUGCUGUAUCUGCCUGAAAUGAAGAUCUUCUUGGAUACAACUAGACUGCUUGCAGAAAAGACAAAUAAUCUACUUGAAGAGGUCUGGAUUUACAUUGAGGGUGGAAAACUUAUCCAGUCUGCAGUUCUACUGCUUGCUGCUCAGGAGCAUAUCCGUGGGAGCUGCUCCUCCAAUAUAAAUGGCAGUAGUAAGAAAGAUGGGUUUGACAUUAUCAAUAAGCGUCUACUGAGGCUUUCCAUUGCCUUAAGAUGGGGAAAAGGCUCAAAUGAAAUGAAAUGGCACAGAAGCUUCUGGAGGAAAAGAGAACACUUAUUGAUUGUGCAGGGCUGCUUGUUGAUGUAAUUUCCCAUGUUGUUGAACCUCUUUCAGCAUACAUUCAGGCACAUUCAGAGGCAGCUUGUCAGCCCAGGCAGCAGCGCCAGCCGCAGGUGUCCGAAAUUGGACCCCUGAGAUCGCUGCCUGCGCCAGGCAAAUUUGGCAAGACUCGAAGCAAACAGGCCCUAAAUGAGGUGUCCGAAUGGAGGUCUUGGAACAUGUUUCAUCUAUCCUCAAAGACUAUGGGUUUCUCCCCACUGAAGAAGUCAUGGACACUAUAAACCUCCAACCUUAUGACUGCAAAAUGUCAGACAAAAAGUCAUGUAGCAAAGGUGCAAACAGAGGAGUUAUGGAAACGGCUAUUCUGCAUGCUGCAGAGGAAAAGGCUGCAAGAACAGAAGUAGGUGGCGGAUGGGAUCCCACAUAUGCAAGGAGAAGUUAUUUCCCAUAUUGGAGAUCAGUGUUACGAACCCGUUGUCCUGUGAGAGUGUAUCCAGCCUAUGCAAGAGCAGAGGCUAGGUUCCCAAUGGUCAAUGGAUGUACUCCAAUUACAGAUCAUAAGCUUAGUUCAGUGGGAAGAAUCACAGCACUUACAAGCAAUCAACCCAAAAGGAGCUUUAGCACUGCUGCUAUUGGGGCAUUCAGGCUCUUGAAAUUGCUAAAGCAUGCAUGAGUAGAAAGGUGCCUGGUGGCAAAUGGGUGUUACAACGUGCAAGUUUCUCCAAGAUCGAGCUGGUUGGUCACUGAGUGUUGCGUUUUUUUAGUGGAUGUUCCCAAUUAAAUGGCAUUGAUGUGGCUAAACCUUAUGCUACUAUGGCCUUUGUGUGUUAAUGGCCGUGUAAUACUAACUGACUAUAACAAUUGUGGGUGACCUGGACCUAGACAAUGCCCUAGGCUUAAUGCAAUGGGAAAUGUGCUUUUUUCCCCCCAAA